rnacentral:ribozyme from 1 species
UGGGGAUAUUAAUUGCUCUGUAUGAACACAAAGUUUUCGUUCAAGGAGCAAUUUGGGGUAUUAAUUCAUUUGACCAAUGGGGGGUGGAGUUAGGAAAACAGCUUGCAAAAGCCAUCUUGAAAGAUUUAGCAGCUGAAGGGGAGGUUACAACACAUGAUUGUUCAACCAAUGGACUCAUCAAUCGCUUCAAGAGCAAAAAAUAAUUAGUUUUGAAGGGUUUUGAAAGAAAAAGUUGUGUUAUUGAUGGAGAAGAUGAAAGAAAAAACACAUUAAAAAACAUU